GGGCGGGACUAGGCUGAAGCAGCCAGUCGGAGCGCGAGAGCUGGAGCGCGCAAGGAGACCUAGCCAAUCGAAAAUGCGUCCUGCUCCACGUGCCGGGGCCGCUGUCUUAAAGUGACAGGCAGCAAUUUUUCGGGGCUGUACGGCUGUGGGAGCGAGCGGGGGACAAAUCUGAGCUCCAGCUUAUCUUUCUUUCACUUGCACAAAUAAGAAAUGGGGAGCAGCUAUUGGAUUCCAGUAGGCCAGACUGAGGACUUUGCUUCUAGUAACAGGCUGUCCUGCAAGGAAAGAAAAAGAGUACUGCAUCAAGGUUGCGAGGAAAAUGGCCAGUGGGUUCAGUGGUUGUUGGUGGGCAGGACAGAUACUUUGACAUGUGGCAGGAAUCAGAAGUUCUCUUGAUCUGGAUUUCCAGGCUCUGAAUAUUUUGAUAGUACUAAGUAUACCAUGAACUUUAUUUCCUCUCCAGUGUUGAUUUGUCUACCAUUACAAAGCUAUAUGAAUAAAA
rnacentral:lncRNA from 1 species